CACACACACACACACACACACACACACACACACACACACACACACACACACACACACACACACACACACACACACACACACACACACACACACACACACACACACACAGAGUGAUCUGGUGUACCAGUGUGUUCAUGAAACCAAAGAAGUCCAAUUGCCUUCUUUAAAAAUCCAUUUGAUGUCAUACUGAACAACUGUUGUAUUUGAUUCUAAUUUUAAUGAUUCUGUUUCAGGUGGAAAUGCUGUGUGAUUCCUGUGCCAUGUGGCCCAUGACCUGUGUCAGCCUUGCUGAGUUCUCUGUAGCAAGGUUUUCUGGUGCUUGUGGCCGUUCCAGAGUGCACCUGAUCCGGUCUAACACUUCACAUCCCAGCACACGCACGAACACAUGCUUGUUGAUGUUUGUUGUUCAUGAUGUUUGUGGUUCAUGGUUUACAUGUUUAUAGUUGUUCAUCCCACGUUUUCUUGAUGACUCUUAGAAAUGUUUCUUCACAGGUGCAGCUGCUGGUUGCUGUUUUUAUGUUGGUUUGCUAGUUGCAUUAAUUUUUCUCUUAUUUACUUGUUUAUCCUCUAUCAGCAGUCUUUAUUCCAGAUUGGUUCAGCAUUUACAUGCUGAUGUGGCGAUACAUAACCCAAACCAAUAUUACUCAAGGGGAACCUCGUACACAUUAAGGCCCUGUCCACACGUAGCCGGGGAUCUGCCAAAACGUAGAUAUUUUUCUACGUUUUGGCCUGUCAUCCACAUGAAAACGGAGUUUUUUCACACGAAAACGGAUCUUUUUUAAAACUCCGGCCAAAGUGAAGAUCUGCGUUUUCUCCGUUUUGGGUGUCAUCGUGUGGACUGACAAAACCGGAGUUUUAAGGUCCGCAACGUCACUUUCCGCGACAAAAAAUGCUGACAUCACGUGUGCGACCUGUGUUUACACUAGCCGACAUCAUGGAAGCCCUCAGAGCUGCGCUCUGUCACUACCCGAUCCAUCAAUUGUCCAAGCGCUUUCUGCUUGUUUGUUUUUGCAAGCGGAAUUGCUGCUCCUUGCGGAAGACCACAGACGAAGGAUGAGGUUAAGAACGGGGGAAGUACUGCCGCCUACAGGUCUGGCAUGUCCUUAACAAUGUAUUUAUCCGGGUACGUGUGGACAGAGUUUUUUUUUAAAACGCGAUGGUGUGGAUGCAAGUUUUUGGAGGGGCGGAUAUUCGUUUUCAAAAAACCCCGGCUACGUGUGGACUAGGCCUAAGGCUCCUUGUCAUGAGCCGGGGUGAGUACUCCUGUUCUCUUAACCAUCUGUCAGUCUCUUGCCAGGAGAGGGAGUGGCCCAGCUGUUCCUGAUCAGCAAUCAGCAGGGUGCUUUCCUAUUUAAGGUGGAUGGUGGACACAAUUCGACGCCGGAAGAUUGCCUCAGUUUUGGUAGUAACCAGCCACUCGUGUUACCUCUAGUGUUCCUAGGAUUAAUGUUAUUUCGUUGUGUUUUUGCUCUUAUAUUGGAUUUACCAUUCUUCAGGAUUCCUGUCGACCUCAUUGGAUACUGACCUCUACUCCAGGAUUCUGAUAUUCAACACACGGACCAGGAUUUGGAUAUUCAGCACACGGACCUUAUCACCACCCUCCAUAACCCACCUCUCAUCUCACCCAGUGCCCCAUCCACCAGGACGCCCCACUUCUCUCCACCUCUGCUCCCUCUCCUGCGCUUCCCCCGGCUCUCUACCUCUCCCUCCUCCAGCCAACACAUACACCCACCACAACGCUGAGCUGUUGUUGCAGUUCCAACCACAGACUUAUCUGUGCACCUUAAGUUCCUCCUUAUAAAUAAAUCAUUUUUUCCAUCA